UGGUAGAUAAGCCCUGUACAAAACCAUA
rnacentral:sRNA from 1 species